rnacentral:lncRNA from 1 species
UCAUUUCGUCACGCUUCGCCUCGUUUCAUCACGCUUCGCCUCAGGUUGGUGUUGAUCUCCAAAACAGUGUGAAUCGAUUUCGAUUUCGUUUUUAAGAUUGUUUAUACGGCUUUGACUCUUGAGUUUCUACUUUUUGAUGUGACUGGGAUGGUAGUCAGAUUUUAGCUUCCCCGAGGUCUUUGUUAGAGAUUGGAUAGGAAUUGCAAUUUCGAUUUCUGAUUUUGGGAAUUGGGAGAUGGAUUUGAUCCGAUUGUUAUAGAUGUAGAUGAGAGCCGUGCAAUGGUUUUGAAUUGAUUUUGUGGGAAGCUUGAUGUGUAAUUGAAGAUAUUUCUUUCAAAUUAUUGGCACCUCUUUAGGAUAUUUGGUCUGAUUAGCGCUUCUUGUAGGCCGUCUCCGAACCUUGCUUUUUUUGUUUGGUUUGUCUAAUUUCUCAUUCCUUGCCUUGUCUCAUGGAUUCCGUUAGUCGGGGUACCGGGUUUCUAAGGAAUGAAUGUAUGAUACAUUCUGCUUUGUGGCUUCAACAAGAUACUUUGUAUGUUUUCCUAGGAAUUUUUUUCAAAACCAGAAGGAUAAGUCAAACAUUGCCUUUGAUCCUUCUCUUUCUCUUUUGCAUUUAGUUGGGGUAAGGAUAGAUACUUCAGACCAUAUGCUUUAAUCCUUUCCAUGAAUUGACUGGAUUUGAGAUACAAGUCUUUAGUUUGCCUGAUGACUGCUUGAUAUCUAAAUCUUUAAAACAAUAAUAGUAUUCAGUAUUUUAUCGUAGGCUGUUCUGAGAGGGGAUUUGAUGCUCUUUCCUAAUUAUUUUCUAUUUGUACUCUCAGCUUAAGUAAGUUUUUAUCCGUGUAUUGCAGGCAUUUGACAUAGCUUUCCUUCAAAGUUCAUUGUCAAUUGUAUCAUUUGUUUGUAUGCUUUUGGAAUUGAAAGUACUUUUUUUUUUUGACAUCGAAAUAGAAUCUAAAAACUACUCUGCAGCCGUUAGACUAGCUUCAGGGGCUAGCCAUAUGGGCGCAAAGACACUAACUGAGGGAUUUAGCUUGCGUAGUCGGCCACCUUUGGCGAGUCUGUCCGCACAUGCAUUCUGUGAUCUUGGGAUAGCAGAUAUAGAGAAGCUUGAGAAAUCAGAGGAUAAUGUUUUAAUCUCGUCUAGCUCCGGCGCUAAGGCUGGCCAUUCCAUAUCGG